AAAAAUUUGAAGAGAGAGAAGAAAAAAAAUGUAGGAAGAGAGAAAAAAAUUGAAGACUUAGGCUCAGAAGGAACUGAGACACUAUUCCCCCCCUUGCGGUUCAGAUCUUCCGUAUGAAAUGUACACCGUAGUACGCGUGGUAUAUCCGGAUUGGCUUAACUGCUUGGUUCGCACUAUUUGCACGGAUGCCUACACAAAAAUCUACAGGGCGUGGUGAUUUAGUCGUGCUUUGAUCGAAAGAAAGUACAGCCAUUGUGGCAGGUCUGCAUCAACGCAGAAGUUUUACAGGAGCUCACAGGACAUCGAAUACAAACAAUGUCAAACUGGCAAAACUUAAACGAAGUGGGUGAAGAUUGGUGGGAAGUGGCAUAUAAGUUAUUUCUUAUAAAUAAUCCAGUAGAAGUGAUUCUGAAUCAUGCUGCAUUUUAUAUGAGGGGCGAUAACUGGAAUGAUUAUGGAUUCAGCUGUGACACACACGUUCCUCCAACUGGGAAAUUCCAUGAUGUUUCUAGAAGGGCAAUUUUGGUGGUGAUUUCAAGAAAAAGGAGAAUGCAUUGGGGCAAUUGGAACAAGCUGGAUUCGGCACCUUCUGAACCUGUUCCUGAUCUACAGGAAACUGACAAGAAUGUUAUCAACUGUGUUAUUGACCUGAUAUAUAAGGAGGACGGCAGCCCUAGACCAUAUGAUAGAUAAGCUGAACAAUAUUGAUGAGUCUGAACCAGUGGCGCGAAAUCACGCUGUCUCCAUCACCUUUUCAACUAUGUUUUUUUUAUUUUAUUUACUCAGCACUCAGUAUUUCUGUCAAUAUGUCAGCGAUCAUUUCGUGUGUUCCGUACUUUCUGUCGGUUGUUUAAAAAAAAAAUACGCACCAAAAUUCAAACGAAGAUAUCAAGGGAAGAUCACUUUACCAUAGCGUAAGUAAAAUUUCACACAGACGUUAAUAUUCAGCUCUCAGUUAUAAUCUCUCAUUUAUAAUCCUACAUAGUCUCUAAAUGCUUAUAUAGCCUGCAGAAUUGCGCACAGGGGACACAUUGUAACGCUGUGUUAAAACUUUCCCCGCUAUUACAAGAAACUAUGCUAUUCCGUGCAGUUAGCCAUGCAAAUUCACACAAUUCCCUUUUAUGAUUUUAUUUACUGCAGCAUGAGAAACAGGCCAAGACAGACAGGUGUGUACCUGUGUGUGUGUGUCUGUGUGUGUUAUCUCUUUGUCUUCAUUAUGUUGUCUUUGGCUUUCGCUUUGUUCUGUGUUCAUUGUCAAGCAUUAAAAUUUGUUGUAUGUAAACUGACAUUAUUUCAUAUGACUUUAUGAUUUGAUAAGUUAAUAAAUGUUUUUACUGACAUAAUAUCAUAGUUUAUCUUGUAUGCUUUUUAAGUUAAAUCAGAUUUAAUUGUAGAGGGGGAUUUUAAGAUGUUUUAUGGUCAUGUUUCAAAGUGCCCCACCUAUACGUUCUAACAUUUCACUUCUCUUCUUUCCAGUUAAAUAAUUAAAAAAGUAUAUGUUUUAUUAAAAAAAAACAAGACCAAAUAUUUGUACCAGACAUGUGUAAAAUUCAUGUGAAAAAAUAAAAAUGCUUUGAACCCUAAGUACUUUUCCACAAACUUGAGAAAACAAAAAGUGUUAGGUUGUGCCCCGCUCUCCCCUAUACCUGCCAAGAGAGCAGCAACACUGCAAAGACUUGUUUGCCAUGUGCAGGCACCUGCACACAUAGACAUCAAAGAGGGCUUGAGCACCUGCCCUUUUUCUUCCUCGAGAGAAAGUGACCUUUUUUCUGGGGUGCUUUUUUUUUUUUUUAAUAAACAAAUAUAUAUAUUCCUUUUUGCGUACAACUUCCCUGUCAAACAAAUAUAUUUACUGAAUAAAAAUUAAAAUAUCAGGUCGAUAGAUGAGACUUUGUCGAGUUCCAAUGCCCGCCCUACCUCCCUCCCUCCGCCCGCUUCUCCAUGCAGCAGUGCAGCACACAUCGGCACGUCAGACACGCAGGCAGCAGCCCCUCCCAGCUCCUAUCCCAGUUGUGUUUAUCUUGGCUUGUGUGGAGGUGAGUGGUGAUGAACAAAAGACUAAGCUACCAGUGCCUCGACUUUACAGCUAAUUAGCCAAAAGACAAAUAUAGUUAACUUGUGUCUUGCUAACAUGCAUGACUCAUGAGCUACUAGCUAAUGUAUUAAGUUUGCUAAAGUUUAGCUAAGGCAAUAGACCCUUUUAGUGCCGAUGUCACAAUUACGUCACGGCAUUAGCUGGAGGCAAAACAAAGGGAAUACUGGAGGUGACCAAGACAAACCAGCACAGAGUCGGCUACAUAAGGAGCUUAAAAUGUCAUCUUGUUGUGUUGUUGGGUGCCAGAAUCGACAGAGUACAGGCUCCUAAUUGGAAUUUUAUUGCAUACCUGCUGCCACUGCCAGACAAAAAAAAAAAAAAAAAAAAAACGAUGACAGCUGUGGUUAAAAGCAAUAAAACGAGCGGACUGGACAGAAACGGUCAUCAAACAUGCUUGCGUUUGCAGCACGCACUUCAUAUCAAGUAAAGUUAAAUAAACUAUUGUCUUUUGUUGGUAUGGAUUAUGGUUUGGUUACGUGUCUAAAGAUUUCUCAUGCAUGCCCACCUAAUCAGAAAUCGAGGAACAAGUUAAGUGAUUUCUCACGUAACGCUAACUUUUUUUUAGUGCAUAAGUUAGCUAACUUUGUUAGUCGUACAACUAGCAGUUAGCUAACUGCUAGCUAAUGACCAGAGACUAAACAUAAAGGAAACUGUUUGUGUCAUCUCCCUUUCUACAGUUGCCAUAAGUGCAAUUGUAGAAAGGGAGAGGGAACAGUGAGAAGGCCCAUGUUAUGUGUCAGGUGUGCAUUCAAAUAACUGCAUUUGCUAACGUUUGCCACUGUUAGUAGCCAAUCAAAAGGAUAGCGAAGUAGUAAGCUAGGCUGACAUUAGCUUCAGUUACAUCUUAUUUUGUAGGAGAGGCUUCUAUGGAAGCGUCCCCUCUGUGUUUUCUUAUAAACGGCAUAGUGACAGGCCUGUGGAAAAGCCGGAGAGGUAGGUGAAAUUGAGUUUUCUAAAUGUGGCUACGUGAGUGUUACCAUAGGCUGUAAUUCAUGUGUGCAGUCUUCUUCACUAAAAUCUCUAUGUUUUGUCUCUGUUUUGUCCUGCUUUUCUAAGGCUGGAAAGGAACAGGGAAAGUCUGACAGUGGACCAAGAGGCUCCUUGCCAUGCUGAUGAUGAUCCAAUGACACCAGAGGAACCAGUGGAAGAAGCUGAGGCUAUGGUCCCUCAAGCAGCAUACAACAGUCUCAGUGAGAAGUGACCAACUCAACACGGAAUAUGUCAACUUGAGAAAUGACUUUUACCAACUCAAAGAGGAGAAUGAAAGACUGAAACAGGAGCUUCAGAAAUCACGCUUCUCAUUCUCCACGGUCAAAAACAAGGCUGCACACUUUCUGUUUCUCACUGGGCUAACUUCAGUCAUCUUCAGUUGGGUAAUGUCAAAAAUAAAAGACAGUGUGCAGAAGCAAACUGAAAGUCUCAUGCUGGAAGAUCAUUUAUUAGUGGUCCUUAUGAAACUGAGAUUGGGGCUCAGUAACAGAAAUAUAGCAUAUAGAUACAAAGUUUCUGAAAGCACAGUGUCAAACAUUCUAAGAUCCUGGUUGCCUGUAAUGGCAAACAUAUUAAAAUCUAUUAUUAAAUGGCCAAGUAACAGUGCUGUCCUUAAAAUAUGCCCAAAGGUUUCAGGCGACAUUUCAAGAGAUGCAGGUGUAUAAUUGACUGUACAGAGAAAUUCAUAGAGAGACCUACUAACUUGACUGCUAGAGCUCAAACCUGGUCCAACUACAAGCAUAACAACACUGUUAAGUACCUGGUGGGAAUAACACCUGUAGGGGCAGUUUCAUUUCUGUCCACAGGCUGGGAUGGGAGAGUGUCAGAUAAGCAAAUAACACAUGAAUCAGGAUUUUUGCACCUGUUAGAGCCAAAAGAUGAAAUCUUAGCAGACAGGGGAUUUUUGAUCAGGCAUGAACUUGCUGCUUAUGGUGCCACUUUGCAUAUGCCAAGUUUCACUAAAGGAAAGAGUCAGUUACCUGCUUGUGAAGUAGAUUCAUCCAGACAACUGUCUCAUGUGAGAAUACACGUAGAGAGAUUUAUAAGCAGAUGGAAGUUACAAAAUUUUGCAUUCUGUUAUUCCAAUUUCCCAAGUUAGCCUCUUGGAUGACAUGGUGAUUGUGUGUGGUGCUCUUACCAAUUUCUGUAAAUCUGUGGUGCCCAAAAAAGAAAGAGUAUGUCGUGUAUGAAAUAAUGUCUGUGUGCAUGUGUGUGUCUGUGUGUAAAACAAUGAACUGACAAUUUAUAUGCUUUUCACUUUGAGAAUUGAAUGUUUUUUUUUUUCUAAACUAUUGUGAUUGUAAUUGUGAAUCACCUGUGAUUGUAUAUACAUUGUUGUGAUUGAUUGUAACUAGAAUUUUAAAGAACCUAGUAAGAAAGAAUAAUCAAAUACAGAAAGUUAAAAAAUUAAUUUGCAGUGUCUGGAAUUUGUAUUUCUAGAAAAUAUUCACAUCUUUACAAUUGUAGUGUAAUGUAACUCUAAAUUUACAUCAUUUACAUGAGGCAUAUACUUUAAAAUAACUCUUUGGCCAUUACAUACAUACAUCUUCAAAUAAUACCUUAGCCAUCACAUUGAAUGUUGAACUUUUUUUGAAUUUUAGACCGGCUGUCCUUCCUCCACAUGUCCCCAUGGAAAGGUGAUGGGAUCGAUAUCCACAUGUGCGAUUAGUUUUCUACAUAAGGCUGUGAAAGAUAGAGAUAAUCCCUGCAUAAAUCACGCUGCUGCAAUGUGCGUUUCAUCAAGACACUCUGGCCAUCAAUCACUUGCAAGGGUGGUUACAUCCUGCCACCCUGUCAUCCAAUCAGAAUCCAGCUCUCUGUGACAGACAGGUUGGUCUGCCUGACGACCCAGCCCAAUGCUUCUGUUGGACCAAAGAGGCACAUUCAGAUGAAAUAUCCUACAGCGUGUUCUGUUUGAGGAGGAAUAAGAUAUUUCACAAUUGAGUCUUGAACCAGAGAAUGGCAG